rnacentral:misc_RNA from 1 species
UCUCUUGAACUAAUGUUUCUUGAUUCUAAUGAACUGAAAAUGAAUUAUUCUCAUCUCAUCUUUGUUUUUACCAUCAUUCUUGCUUAUUCCUCUGUUUCAAUUCUUGCACAACAGCCUUAUUUUGGAACUGGAACAAAUGACUGCAGCAGCCAAGAUACCUCCACUUCUGCUUUUGGGUAUUUAUGCAAUGGCGUUAACCGUACUUGCCAAUCUUAUUUGACCUUCAGAUCUCAACCCCCUUUCAAUACUGUGUCCUCAAUCUCUUCUUUACUCGGUGCUAAUCCUUCACAGCUCUCUCAGCUCAAUUCUGUUUCUCAAAAUGCUACCUUUAACACCAAUCAAAUGGUUCUUGUUCCUGUCACUUGUUCUUGUUCAGGUCAGUUUUAUCAAUCAAAUGCAUCUUAUGUUAUCAGAAGGGAUGAUAGUUUCUUGAAUAUUGCAAUGAAUACCUUACAAGGAUUGUCAACUUGCCAAGCUAUCAACGCGGAGAACAGUGAACAAGCUAACAAUCUUGUUGUUGGUUCAAGAAUUAAUGUUCCUCUGCGAUGUGCUUGUCCUACACAAAACCAAACUAAUAAUGGUACAAAUUAUCUGCUUACUUAUUUGAUUGCUUCUGGGGAAUUUGUUUCCUUUAUUAGUGAUAAAUUUGGGGUGGAUUUUAGGGCAACUCUUGCUGCUAAUAGUAUACCAGAAGAUGCUCCUACUGUCUUUCCAAAUACUACUCUAUUAGUUCCUUUAUCGACCCCACCUUUGAGUUCCCAAGUUGCUGGACCAUCUCCACCACCGCCUCCUGCGACAACACCAACACCACCUGCUGUCCCUGUAUCGGAGAGCAGCUCGAACAAAACUUGGAUAUAUGUUGUCGCUGGUGUUGUUGGAGGACUUGUUGCUUUGUGUAUUCUGGGGGUGGUUGUUUUCUUUUUGUUUUUCAGGAAAAAGGAAAAGAAAGCUGAUCCACAGUUUGUUUCUGAAAGCUUUGAAGCUGUUGAGAAACCGUCGAAUAAGAAAGUUGAAGAAGAAUCAGAGGAGUUUUUGGAAAGUUUAUCCAGCAUAGCUCAAUCUGUUAAGGUUUACAAGUUUGAAGAGGUUAAAGCAGCCACAGAAAAUUUCAGUCCUACAUGUUUGAUUAAGGGAUCUGUUUAUCGGGGCACGAUAAAUGGGGAUUUUGCUGCUAUAAAGAAAAUGAGUGGUGAUGUAUCAAAGGAAAUUAAUUUGUUGAGCAAAAUCAAUCAUUUUAAUCUUAUUAGUCUAUCGGGAAUUUGUUUUCAUGAUGGUCACUGGUAUCUUGUAUAUGAAUAUGCUGCCAAUGGACCAUUAAGUGAUUGGAUAUGUCACCAUAAUGGUGAGCAGAAGUCACUAAGUUGGGCACAAAGAG